ACCUAGCUCUCUCCACAGGAAGUCAGAGAAUUCCAGAGGCUGUUCCCUACCUCACUUCCUGUGCCUCACAAGUGCCAACGGUGGCUCAAGCUUGGCUUAGGACAGCCCAGGUGGGCAGUCAGUUAAUUCUGAUUUGUCAUUGACUAGCACAUGCCUGUGUGGUGUGGGUGUGCACAAUUGUGGGUGCUAUACCAAGCAAGAUGGAGAUUUUAAAAUUCACACUGAAGGACCAAAAGGCAUGGAAUAUGAUAUUCCAGAAAGCAAGAAAACUAGGUCUACAACCAAGAAUCAACUACCCAGCAAAACUGACUAUAUUCUUAGAGGGGAAAGUAUGGUCAUUCAACACAAUAGAAGAAUUCCAAGCAUUCAUAAAGAAAAGAACAGACCUGAACAGAAAAUUUGAUGUCCACCCACAGAACUCAAGAGAAUCAUCAGAAGAUGACAGAGCUAGAUUUUGUGAAUUUUAUCUACAAAGGAAAGGUGAACCAUUGGUCACCAACAGGAAGAAUUCAGCAGCAAAGGAGACAACAGAACCAAUUAAGAAAGCAAUAAGGGUUAAGAAGACAUCAUCAAGACCCCAUUCUUGAAGGAAAUUUUCUGAUCUCAAAGUCUACUCUUCAACACUAUGAAGCCAAUGAUCAAUAAUAUUUACAGUCAAUCAGAUAACGAUUCAACUCUCCAUAUCCCUUCAAUCAAAUGGCCAGAGAAGGUCAGCAAAAUUGUGUUUAAAAUUCUACAAGCUGGGCUUCAGCAAUUUGUGAACCAAGAAUUCCUCAAAGAGCAGGCUGGUUUUCAAAGAAGAAGAGGAACUAGAGACCAAAUUGCCCACAUUCACCACAUUAUGGAGAAAGCAAGGAAGUUCCAUAAAAAAAAAAAUCUACUUCUGCUUUUUUGAGUACUCUAAAGCCUUUGUGUGGAUCACAACAAAAUAUGGCAAGUCCUAAAGAAACGGGAGUGCCAAAUCAUCUUGCUUGUCUCCUACAGAACCUGUAUGUGGGUUCAAAAGCAACAGUUAGGACCAAACAAGAAAUAACCGAUGCGUUUAAGAUUUGAAAAGGAUAUUGUCACCUUAUUUGUUCAACUUAUAUGCAGAAUACAUCAUGCAAAAAGCCAGCUUGGAUGAAUCAAAAGCUAGAAUUGAGUUCACUGGGGAAAAUAUCAACAAUCUCUAAAAUAGAGAUAAUACUCUGAUGGCAGAAGGUAAAGAGGAAUAAAGAAACCUAUAGGUGAGGGUGAAAGGAGAGUGUAAAAAUGGACUGAAACUUUACAUAAAAUUAAUACUAAGAUCUUGACAACUGGUCCCAUCACCUCUAUAUUUUGAAAAGAUCAUUUUCUGCUAUAACAUUACUUCCCAACUAACAUAGGAAGCAAUUCAAUUUGACAAAAAUUUAUUAAAUAGUGCAUUUUGCUAGAAUGUGCAGGACACUGUGGAAACCCAGGGGCAGGAGUAGGGUGAGAGGUAAUACAAACAUGAAAACUGGCAAGGUCCUUCCUCUCAAGAAAUCUACCACUUGUGGAAGGAUUCUUAAGGCCACUCCCAACCUUAAUGGGUGGUGAUCUUUCAACUGAAAAGAGACAGUGAACAUCAAUUGACACUAAUCUCUUUUGUAGGUAGUCAGUCAACAAACAUUUAUUAAGUAUCUAUUACAUAUACUAUGCCAAGAGCUGGGGAUACAAAAAUGAAACAAUCAAAGAUGGCAAUCCCUAUUCUUAAAGAGCUCAAAGUGUAACGAGAGAGAGAACAUACAGACAAGUAUAACAACCAUGCAAUAUGCAGUUUUAUAUUAGAAAUAACCAAUAAGAAACAUCAUUGGGAAAAGUUAUCCUUUUCUUUUUUAUUUUAAUAACAAAUUUCCCCAUCAGUUUUCCAAAGUUAUAUGAUCCAAAUCAUCUCCCUCCUUUCAGAGCUGAUUAGCAAUUCAGUCUGGGUUAUACAUGUAUUAUCAUGCAAAACAUAUUUCCAUAUUAUUCAUUUUGGUAAGUGAAUAUUCUUAUAAAAUCAAAACCCUCAAACAUAUACCCAAAUAAACAAGUGAUAAAUCAUAUAUUUUCAUCUGCAUUCCUACUCCAAAUGUUGUAUCUCUGGAAGUGAAUAGCAUUCUUUUUCAAAAAUCUCUCAAAAUCGUCUUUAAUCAUUGUAUUGCUAUUAGUAGUAAAGUCUAUCACAUUUGAUUAUUCCACAAUAUUGUUGUUACUCUUUUCCUGAUUCUGCUUCUUUUACUCUGCAUCAGUUCAGGUAGGUCUUUCCAGCUCUUUCUGAAAUCAUCCUGUUCAUAAUUCUUUACAGCAUAAUAGUAUUUGAUCACUACCAUAUACUACAAUUUGUUCAGCUACUCCCCAAAUGAAGGGCAUCCCUUUAAUUUCUAAUUCUUUGCCAACACAAAAAGAGCAGCUAUAAAUAUUUUAUACAAGCAGAUCCUCAGAAAAGGCUUUCUAUGAAAAAAAAAAAGAUUUUUACUGGAAUUUGAAGUCAAGGAGGCAGGAAACGAAGGAGAAUAUACUGUCAGUAGUAUGGACUCGAAUCAAGAGUUGGGAGUAUUAUAGAAAAUGCACUGUAAUUGGGUAUAAAAGAU